UACGAGAUGGUCGAGAUUAAACAUUAAACUGUAAAUUUAAUAACGGGCUACCACCCUCUUGUAU
rnacentral:tRNA from 1 species